CCUACGGGAGGCUGCAGUGAGGAAUAUUGGUCAAUGGGCUUACGCCUGAACCAGCCAAGUCGCGUGAGGGAAGACUGCCCUAUGGGUUGUAAACCUCUUUUGUCAGGGAGCAAUUGGCGCUACGUGUAGCGUUAUCGAGAGUACCUGAAGAAAAAGCAUCGGCUAACUCCGUGCCAGCAGCCGCGGUAAUACGGAGGAUGCGAGCGUUAUCCGGAUUGAUUGGGUUUAAAGGGUGCGUAGGCGGAAUGCCAAGUCAGCGGUAAAAUCGCGGGGCUCAACCUCGCUCCGCCGUUGAAACUGGCGUUCUUGAGUGGGCGAGAGGUAUGCGGAAUGCGUGGUGUAGCGGUGAAAUGCAUAGAUAUCACGCAGAACUCCGAUUGCGAAGGCAGCAUACCGGCGCCCAACUGACGCUGAAGCACGAAAGCGUGGGUAUCGAACAGGAUUAGAUACCCCAGUAGUC
rnacentral:rRNA from 1 species